GACGAACGCUGGCGGCGUGCUUAACACAUGCAAGUCGAACGGAAAGGCCCUGCUUUUGUGGGGUGCUCGAGUGGCGAACGGGUGAGUAACACGUGAGUAACCUGCCCUUGACUUUGGGAUAACUUCAGGAAACUGGGGCUAAUACCGGAUAGGAGCUCCUGCUGCAUGGUGGGGGUUGGAAAGUUUCGGCGUUUGGGGAUGGACGGGCGGCUUAUCAGCUUGUUGGUGGGGUAGUGGCUUACCAAGGCUUUGACGGGUAGCCGACCUGGGAGGGUGACCGGGCACAAUAGGCCUGAGGGAGGGACCAGAGGGCAACGGGAGGCAGGAGUGGCGAACAUGACACAAUGGGCCGGCGCAGGAUGCAGAGACGUCGGGUGCGGAAAGACGGUUUGUGGGGAAUAAACAGCGUCAGGCUGAGACGCAGCGGGAGUGACGGUAACGAGUAAAGAAGCACCGGCUAACUACGUG
rnacentral:rRNA from 1 species